rnacentral:rRNA from 1 species
GAUAAACGCUAGCGGCAGGCUUAACACAUGCAAGUCGAGGGGCAGCAUAGAUUGUAGCAAUACAAUUGGUGGCGACCGGCGCACGGGUGCGUAACGCGUAUGCAACCUACCCGUCACAGGGGGAUAAUCCGGAGAAAUCUGGUCUAAUACCCCAUAACAUAUGGAUCGGCAUCGGUUCAUGUUGAAAUUUUAGGAGGUGACGGAUGGGCAUGCGGAGCAUUAGCUUGUUGGUGAGGUAACGGCUCACCAAGGCGACGAUGCUUAGGGGGACUGAGAGGUUUUCCCCCCACACUGGUACUGAGACACGGACCAGACUCCUACGGGAGGCAGCAGUGAGGAAUAUUGGUCAAUGGGCGCAAGCCUGAACCAGCCAUGCCGCGUGCAGGAUGACGGCUCUAUGAGUUGUAAACUGCUUUUGUACGAGGGUAAAGUGGGUUACGUGUAACCUUUUGGAAGUAUCGUACGAAUAAGGAUCGGCUAACUCCGUGCCAGCAGCCGCCGUAA